UGCACAGAACAGUUUACAGUACGAAUGAUCAACAUUCUAAAAUAGGACAUACGGAUUAACAACAACGGAAUUUUGAAUUACCACGAAAUAAAAUGAUUCAUCUGUUUGAAUAAUGACCGAAAUAUUGGAUAUUGUGUGUGAAAGAGAAGAAAAGAAUUAUAUAUAUAUAGAUGCCGAUGGUUGGAUACAUGAAGAAAGAAAAAAAGAAAUGAAGACAACAAAUGAUGUCGGCCUAGUUAUGAUCGCUGUGUUGGUUUACACAUAAAAUCCAUGUGGCACAACCUCCAUCUAGAAGCCUGAGGAGGAAAGAUACACUAUGCGUGGGUUCACCAAUUCUUUGAAUGAAAUACAAAACUGUAUGCAGACAAAUUCACAAUUGAUUUUUGGUGGAACCACCAGGGGCCUGUGUGAAUGAGAUAUUUUAUGCUUUUCAAAAUAAUAGAAUCGCCAAUAUCUUAUUAUUGGUGGACCCACCAAGUUUAUUUGAAAGUGAGAUAGUCGAUGAAUAAAAUUGGUGGAAUCACCAGGGUCCUGUGUAUUUGAUAUAUUUGAUGCUGUUUUAAAUAAUAGAAUCGCCAUUAUCUUAUUAUUGGUGGACCCACCAAGUUUUUCAUAAGUGAAACAAUCGAUGAAUGAAAUUGGUGGAAUCACCAAUAUUAUGACUGUCAUUGUGGAAUAUGAAGGUUUAAAGAUACUGUAAAAUGUGCUUUUGUGUAAAAAAGAUGGUGGGUUUACCAAUUUAUGUUGUGUUCAACGACCAAAAUGAAUAAAAUUAAUGUUCAUUUCUGUUUUUGCAUUGUGUUCAUUUUUCAUUUUGCGCU